UACGUAGGGGGCAAGCGUUGUCCGGAUUUAUUGGGCGUAAAGAGCGUGUAGGCGGCCAUGUAGGUCCGUUGUGAAAACUCGAGGCUCAACCUCGAGACGCCGAUGGAAACCAUGUGGCUAGAGUCCGGAAGAGGAGAGUGGAAUUCCUGGUGUAGCGGUGAAAUGCGGCAGAUAUCAGGAAGAACACCCGUGGCUAAGGCGGCUCUCUAGUACGGUACUGACGCUGAGACGCGAAAGCGUGGGAGCGAACAGG
rnacentral:rRNA from 1 species